rnacentral:lncRNA from 12 species
GGGGGGAGGGAGGGGAGGGGCCCCGGCGGGCUUGCGAGACCCGAGGGCCCCGGAGCGACCUGUCCCGUGAGGACGUGUCCGCUCGGACCCGCUCCGGAAAGUUCACUCAGUCGCCGCCCCGCGCCCCGUCCCGUCCCGUCCUGGUGCCCCGGCCCCGUCGCCCUGCCCCCGUCUCAGGCUCAGCUUUUUUGUUUUCCUCCGCGUCUCCGUCUCAGUGCCCUUCAGUGUCUCUGUGUCUCUGUCUCCCUGUGUCACUGCUUCCUGGUCUCCCCCCUGCAGCCCCGGGGUUUUUCCCGCUGUCUGUGGCUCCCUCCCCGGGUCUCUGGGCUCUCCCUCCCCGGGUCUCUGGGCCCUCCCUCCCCGGGUCUCUGGGCUCUCCCUCCCCGGGUCUCUGGGCUCUCCCUCCCCGGGUCUCUGGGCCCUCCCUCCCCGGGUCUCUGGGUUCUCCCUCCCCGGGUCUCUGGGCCCUCCCUCCCCGGGUCUCUGAGCUCUCCCUCCCCGGGUCUCUGGGCUCUCCCUCCCCGGGUCUCUGGGCCCUCCCUCCCCGGGUCUCUGGGCCCUCCCUCCCCGGGUCUCUGGGCCCUCCCUCCCCGGGUCUCUGGGCCCUCCCUCCCCGGGUCUCUGGGCUCUCCCUCCCCGGGUCUCUGGGCUCUCCCUCCCCGGGUCUCUGGGUUCUCCCUCCCCGGGUCUCUGGGUUCUCCCUCCCCGGGUCUCUGGGCCCUCCCUCCCCGGGUCUCUGGGCUCUCCCUCCCCGGGUCUCUGGGUUCUCCCUCCCGGGUCUCUGGGCUCUCCCUCCCCGGGUCUCUGGGCUCUCCCUCCCCGGGUCUCCCCCUCCCGGGUCUCUAUGUUCCCCCUCCCAGGUCUCCGUGUUCUCCCUCCCAGGUCUCUGUGUUCCCCCUCCGGGGGUCUCUAUGUUCCCUCUCUCUGCUCCUCCUCCCCCCAUCUCUGAGUCUGUCUCCCCGGGUCUCUCUCACGUGUGUCCUAUUGGUUUUUCCGUGUCUCUGUCUCCCACUGACCAGAAUCUCUGCCAGCCCUCCUCAGGCCCCCUCCUCAUUUCUCUGGAAUGCCGCCUCUCUGGUUCUUCCACCCCAGGAUGGGGGAGGGGCUAGCCUUUCUCCCCAUUUCAACACCCCCCACCCCCCACCCCCCACCUGGCACCGUGCAGGGCCCCCACCUUGA